AUUGAACGCUGGCGGCAGGCCUAACACAUGCCAGUCGAGCGGAUGAAGGGAGCUUGCUCCUGGAUUCAGCGGCGGACGGGUGAGUAAUGCCUAGGAAUCUGCCUGGUAGUGGGGGAUAACGUCCGGAAGCGGGCGCUAAUACCGCAUACGUCCUGAGGGAGAAAGUGGGGGAUCUUCGGACCUCACGCUAUCAGAUGAGCCUAGGUCGGAUUAGCUAGUUGGUGGGGUAAAGGCCUACCAAGGCGACGAUCCGUAACUGGUCUGAGAGGAUGAUCAGUCACACUGGAACUGAGACACGGUCCAGACUCCUACGGGAGGCAGCAGUGGGGAAUAUUGGACAAUGGGCGAAAGCCUGAUCCAGCCAUGCCGCGUGUGUGAAGAAGGUCUUCGGAUUGUAAAGCACUUUAAGUUGGGAGGAAGGGCAGUAAGUUAAUACCUUGCUGUUUUGACGUUACCAACAGAAUAAGCACCGGCUAGCUUCGUG
rnacentral:rRNA from 1 species